AAGGAACCCAAGGUACAUGGUACAUGAAUGCCGUAGCAAAACUCAACGUACACACCACUUCACCAUUAGUUACGAAAUUUCACAUACUAAAAAUAAAUAAAUAAAUAAAAACAAUAAUUCUUUGAUUUUCCAACUUCUAUGAAGACAAUUAAGAUAUUCAUAGAAGUAUCCUCAGACCAAACAAUACCGGAGUACACCGCCAUGGAAAUGGAGACCACCUUGAAACAUGAUUAAUGCUAACAUACCAAACAUAACAGCCCCAUAUCCAAAAAUGGAGACCACCUUGAAACAUGAUUAAUGCUAACAUACCAAAC
rnacentral:lncRNA from 1 species